rnacentral:rRNA from 1 species
ACCUACGGGGGGCAGCAGUGGGGGAUAUUGCACAAUGGGGGAAACCCUGAUGCAGCGACGCCGCGUGGGUGAAGAAGCGCCUCGGCGCGUAAAGCCCUGUCAGCAGGGAAGAAAAUGACGGUACCUGAAGAAGAAGCACCGGCUAAAUACGUGCCAGCAGCCGCGGUAAUACGUAUGGUGCAAGCGUUAUCCGGAUUUACUGGGUGUAAAGGGAGCGCAGGCGGUUCUGCAAGUCUGAUGUGAAAGCCCGGGGCUCAACCGCGGGGCUGCAUUGGAAAAUGCGGGGCUGG